UACGUAGGGCGCAAGCGUUGUCCGGAAUUAUUGGGCGUAAAGAGCUCGUAGGCGGCUUGUCACGUCGGGUGUGAAAGCCCGGGGCUUAACCCCGGGUCUGCAUUCGAUACGGGCUAGCUAGAGUGUGGUAGGGGAGAUCGGAAUUCCUGGUGUAGCGGUGAAAUGCGCAGAUAUCAGGAGGAACACCGGUGGCGAAGGCGGUUCUCUGGGCCAUUACUGACGCUGAGGAGCGAAAGCGUGGGGAGCGAACAGG
rnacentral:rRNA from 1 species